rnacentral:lncRNA from 1 species
AUGGAGCUCCCUCCUAUCAGAAGGGCACCGAACACGCCACCCGUGCGGCUCUGCCCCCAAGGGGAAAGAAGAAGGGCGGCGGCGAGGGCCAAUAGCACCCUUCCCUCCGCCGCGCCACCGCCCUGCGGGACGCCCCCGGCCCCUCCAGCAGCGGUGGCGGGGGGCACGACGAGGCCUCCCCCGCGACCACCAGAGGGCGCCCGCCGCCGGCUCGGCCCCCGCCUGCCCCCUCCCCGCCGCCCGGGGCCGCACAACUUGAGCAAGUUUCCGUGGCUCGCCCCCGCACGCCGCGGCCCCCCGCCGCCCCUCGCCCGCCUCCCCGGUUUCUUCAUGCCGUGUUCCCCGCGGCUUCACCCCCGUUUUACCCGCAGCGGCGUCCAGCAGCGUCCCCUCUCCCUCGAUGCUGGUUCCGGGACGAGGCGGGGGACCCGACCACUUAUCCUUGGGGUACUCAGCCUCCUGACCUGGAAGUCUGGGACAACCAGGGGAUCAGGCCCAGUCAGCAUGGGUUCAUGAAAGGGUGAAUUGAUAUUCUGGGUGUGCACCAUCUUCCUUACCUGAAAUGCCAAUCUGCUUUCUGAGAAAAGAUAAAGGAAACCUGAAGGUUGGAAGAGAACCAUGACAUGAUUCAGUAUAUCUUCUUCUGCAGAACUGCAAAAGAACUUAAGAUAGAUAUUCAGGAAGAAAUUACUCUGUAUAACAGGUUCCUUUUAGCAUGUGUAUGUUAUAAUGAAAAAAUCACCCAAAGGCUAUACUCCUGAUGUUCUCUAUUAGACACUCUUCAUAGGAAAAAAAUGUAACAUAGGUAUAAUACUAAUAUUAUGUAAUCAUAUAAAAAUAUUUAUUUUUUUAUAUAAAAGUUAUUUUAAAAACUAAUUAAGAACCUUAUUCUGUCUCUCUCUCUCUCUAUAUAUAUAUAUAAAUAAAAUAAAAAAGAAAAAAAAAUAAAAAGAAAAAGACCUAACUCUAAGUGAUUAAUCUUUUAGUAUUUAUGUCAGCAAGAUUUUUUAUAUGUAUCUGAAUACAGGUACUUUUAAGAUCACAGUUUGCCAUCAGAAUGACUCAUAUGGGGCAUCAUUUUCUAAAACAGAUUGUCUUUAAGGCUGCUGAUGGCAAAUUAGGCCAUAAAGACCAGUACACUUGUACAGAACUGAAAUAGUAAAUCUGAUUGUGAUUGAAGAGGCAAGUCAUUGCAACAUUUGCAUGUAUUUUCUUAGUAGAAUUUUUAAAAUAAUUUGCUUGGAGACUUCUAAACUUAAAUCAAGCAUUACUUUUUUUUUUUUUUUUUUUUUUCCCAUAGAGAAUACGGUGUUGAAAUUUUGCAUGUAUUCAGUGAAAAUCUAAGCUAAUAUGUGCAUGCAGUGAUAUCAAAAUUAGAAAUUAAAAAUCUCAUUAAAAAUUAAGACAGACUUCUCUAGAGCAAUUGCUUGGCAGCUUGUAUUUCAUUAAAUACUAAACCUGUGCUCUCUUUAUUGAAAGUCAAUUUGCUUUUGUAAGUCAAUUUUGCUUUUUGCAUCCACCUUCCCCUAUUACAGCCUUCAUAAAAGAGUUUAAAAUAUACUAGAUUAUACAUAUAUAUUAUUGGGGAUGAAUAUUGAAUACAAAAUGAAAUUUUCAGUGUGAGAAACAAGUUUAAAAGCCUAUUCAGGAUUUUUUGUCCAAGUUAGCUCUUAGAAAAUGUUUGCAUAACACUUGACCGCAGUGAGAAUUACAAUAACAACAAAGUCCAGAAAUAUUUAGUAAAAUCAUUAUUCUUCUGACUACAGUAGUUUUAUUUUAUUAUAUAAUUUUCUUAACACCUCCAGUUAUACCAUCAUUUUGUCAUCUAAUAAAAAGUAAUCAACAAUAAUCAUCCAUCUUUCAUAUCACUUUAUAUCACUUAAAUUGCCUAAUUCCAUAAUAAACUUGUCGUUUGUGAUUGAGGCAGCAUAAUAUAUUUCUGUGUCAAAAGCUAGAUAUAUUAGGUGUUAAUGAAACUGUAUGAAUCAUAAUGAUAUAAUGUAAUUUACUCAAUAAAAUCAUUAAAGAAUUUUAAAUAAAAAAAAAAAGUUAUCAAUAUUUUUCCAUCAAAUAAAUUGGAAAUAUAUGUAUUUUAAUGGGACAGAACAUUCAUGAACUUAACGAUUGCUUGUGGGGAAAUUCACUUCUCUGUUGAAGUCCAGGUCUUGGAUGCUAAAUGCAAUUAACGUUAACUGCAUAUUGAAUUGUCUGGAUGGUUGAAUUUGAAUAGUUGUGGUCAAUGGUUCAAUGUCCAGCUGGAGAUCAGUGACAAGCGAUGUUUCUCAGGUAUCACUAUGGGGACCUCUAUUAUUUAUCAUCAUUGUCAGUGACAUGGACAGUGGGAUUGAAUCAGCAAGUUUGUGGACAACACUAAACUGUGUGGAGUGGCUGAUAUGUUGAAGGGAAGGGAUGCCAUUCAGAGGGAGCUGGACAGGCUUGGGAGGUGGGUGCAUGUGAACCUUAAGAAGUUCAGCAAGGCCAAGUGCAAGGUCCUGCAUAUGAGUCAGGGCAAUCCCAAACACGAAUACAGGCUGGGCAAUGAGUAGAUAGAGAACAGUACUGCAGAGAAGGACUUUGGGAUGCAAAACUGAACAUGAGCUGGCAAAGCGUGCUUGCAGCCCAGAAAGCCAAUUGUAUUCUGGGCUGCAUUAAAAGAACCAUAGCUAGCAGUGCAAGAGAGGUGAUUCUACUCAUUUACUCUGCCCUUGUGAGACCCCACUUGGAGUACUGCGUUAGGCUCUGGGACCCCCAACAUAAGAAAGACAUCGUUAUAGCGAGUCCAGAAGAAGGCCAUGAAGAUGAUCAAAGGGCUGUAGCACCUCUCCAAUGAAGAAAAGCUGAGAGAGUUGGAACAGAAGGCCCCAGGGAGACUUUAUAGUGUCCUUCUA